AGCGGGUAUUGGCUGUAUGAAGGCAGAGCUGUAGGAGUUUAGCGAGAUUCGACACGCGAGGAGGCUGACUUGAGAGUCAAGGGCACAGCGAGCUAGAGAAUUGGCCGGCUUGAGAUGCAGGUAUUUAUUCACCCGAUAGCGGGUCUUGGCUGUGUGAAGGCAGAGCUGUAGGAGUUUAGCGAGGUGACUGCCAGCGUUCGCAGCACGGUUUCUCUCCCUGUUGUUCAUUAUUCCUGUUCAG